CAAUAGCGUAUAUUAAAGUUGUUGCGGUAAAAAAGCUCGUAGUUGGAUUUCUACAGAAGAUAGCCGGUCGGGUCUUCGACCUUGUAUCUGGUUUUGUCUUUGGUAUCCUCAUAGGGAACGUUUCUGCGCUUUAUUGCGUGGUGCGGUAUCUAUGACUUUUACUUUGAGGAAAUUAGAGUGUUCACGGCAGGCAAACGCCUUGAAUAUAUUAGCAUGGAAUAAUAACAUAGGAUCUUCGUCCUAUUUUGUUGGUUUCUAGGGCUAAGAUAAUGAUUAAUAGGGAUAAUUGGGGGCAUCUGUAUCAACGCGUCAGAGGUGGAAUUCUUGGAUUGCGUUGCGACAAACUACUGCGAAAGCAUUUGCCAAGGAUGUUUUCAUUGA
rnacentral:rRNA from 1 species